rnacentral:lncRNA from 10 species
CUGUUCCCAAUCUACUCAUCCUAGGAACCAACUCAGGUCAGGAGAAGCAAGGAAAGCCUUACAACCUGUUACUGACCGGAGGGGAUGAAGGAGACAGGGAAACUACAACACAUGGAAUGUGGUAUCCUGAAUGGGACCCUGGAACCAAAGAAUGACACUGGGGAAGAACUGCUGAAAUUCAAGUAAAAUGUGGAGUCUCGUUAGUGGCAAUGUACCAAGAUGUGAUGACUGAUUUCCAGCAGCUGAAGGGAAGUCUUUUGGAUUAACUUUUGUGAUUGAUUUGCUCUGGGUUCAGUCAGCCUGCAAGGCAGAUGUGAUGGUUGGAAAUAUAGAGUGUGUAUCUUGGCGGAUGAAAAACUCACUCAUUCUCUUCCAGAGAGCAAGUGCUACAAAUGAGAAAAAUAUGAAGAAAAGGAUUUGCAAAUAAGCAGCAGUCCAGAUGUCUGCAGCAUAUGACAUGUGGCUUGACUGUGAGUCAUCAUUGCCUAUCUCUCUGGCAGAUGGCAUUCUCCAAAGGCGAAGCAACACACCUGAAGAUCUCCAAAAUGGAAAAAGAACUAAACCAGAAGUCUGGACAUUUGAAUUUAUGUCCUGGGUGUCUCUAAAUAGAAUACUUAACAGUACUUUUCUGGGCUCCUUACUUUCAUUUGUCAG